rnacentral:lncRNA from 1 species
AUUUGUAUCUUUGGAAAAACUUAGCAGGUUCUGAUCAAACUCUAAAAGCACCUUGGGUGGGGUAAUGAAUUGAUUGGAUUGGGUUCCGAGUUGUGGAAUAGUUGACCCACUUUUCUUCCUCUUCUGAAAAGCCUUUGUUAUUUGUCUAUCAUAGUUAGAUAGCAGUGGUUUCUCUGGCUGUUUCCUUUGCUCUACCUCCAUGCUUCUGAUGACAGCCCAAAGUUUACCCUUAUCAAGUGGUGGAUCUUUCUUCGGCUUCUCCCUUGCGAAGAAAGCUUUAACCUCAGCAUCUACUACUGUGAGAGUUUCUCAACUAUCAUAUCACAUGGGUACUUGGGCUCUGGUCCCUUCUCCUUCG